GCCUGGGUGGCUUGGUCGGUUAAGCGUCUGACUUCAGCUCAGGCCAUGAUCUCGUGGUCCGUGAGUUCGAGCCCCGCGUCGGGCU
rnacentral:tRNA from 1 species